rnacentral:rRNA from 1 species
GAUGAACGCUGGCGGCGUGCCUAAUACAUGCAAGUCGAGCGAACAGACGAGGAGCUUGCUCCUCUGACGUUAGCGGCGGACGGGUGAGUAACACGUGGAUAACCUACCUAUAAGACUGGGAUAACUUCGGGAAACCGGAGCUAAUACCGGAUAAUAUAUUGAACCGCAUGGUUCAAUAGUGAAAGACGGUUUUGCUGUCACUUAUAGAUGGAUCCGCGCCGCAUUAGCUAGUUGGUAAGGUAACGGCUUACCAAGGCAACGAUGCGUAGCCGACCUGAGAGGGUGAUCAGCCACACUGGAACUGAGACACGGUCCAGACUCCUACGGGAGGCAGCAGUAGGGAAUCUUGCGCAAUGGGCGAAAGCCUGACGGAGCAACGCCGCGUGAGUGAUGAAGGUCUUCGGAUCGUAAAACUCUGUUAUUAGGGAAGAACAAAUGUGUAAGUAACUAUGCACGUCUUGACGGUACCUAAUCAGAAAGCCACGGCUAACUACGUG